UUAUUUGAAUUUCAAACAACAGACCAACCAUAGCUCAAUGUUUCUCAAGAGUAUCCUGUGGAGCACAGUGCGUGAACGCCCAGAAGAAAGCAGUCUGUGGUCAGGUGGGUUUCUGUGCCAUUUGCUGCCACCUUCCCUGCAAACAGUGAUUUACAGCACACAUUGUUCUUGUGUCUGUUCUGCAGUGAUAAAACCCAUUUAACUCAGUGGUUCCCAAAUGUACUGACCGUGGAACUGUUUUACUCAGGGGACACUGUUAACAUCCUGUAGAAGCACAGUAGCAGGUAUCCAGCCUGCAUACGAUAAGACAACCAGAACCAAAUUUGGCAGGGAAUACUGGGAGACAAAUCUCUACGAUCACAAAUUACUAAUGGUUUCCCCAGAACUGCUGGUGGCCAUAUCCCCUGGCAUGUGGAAGGGCCCAGAAGAGGCCACUCUACUGCAGAGGCCAACAGAAGAGUGUUGCCCAGGCUGGUCUCAAACUUCUGGGCUCAAGCAACCCUCCAGCCUCGGCCUCCCAAAGUGUUGGGAUCAUAGGCAUGAGACACCGUGCCUGGCGAAGAUAUUUUUACCGAAAAGGACAGAGGGUGUACUUGGAGGCACAUACCAAAGAAAUGCCAUGUGAGAACAAGCAAGAAGGUGGCCAUCUGUAAACCAGGAAGAGUGUCCUCACCAGAAAAUGAAGUGGCUUCAACUUUGAUCUCAGAAUUCCAGCCUCCAUAACUGUGAGAAAAUACAUUUCUGUUCUUUCAGCCAGUCUAUGGCAUUACAUUAUAGCAACCCAAGCAAACUAAGGCAUGCCCAGAAAUGACUACAGGGGUAAAAAUGAGCAGAUAAUUGGUUUUUAGUGUCCUGAAGUUUAUCUGCUUUUCCUUAUGUACUUAUAUCGUUGCCACUGCCACCAGGCUACUCUUCCUUCUUGUCUGCUCCCAAACAGG
rnacentral:lncRNA from 1 species